rnacentral:rRNA from 1 species
GACGAACGCUGGCGGCGUGCCUAAUACAUGCAAGUAGAACGCUGAAGAGAGGAGCUUGCUCUUCUUGGAUGAGUUGCGAACGGGUGAGUAACGCGUAGGUAACCUGCCUUGUAGCGGGGGAUAACUAUUGGAAACGAUAGCUAAUACCGCAUAACAAUGGAUGACACAUGUCAUUUAUUUGAAAGGGGCAAUUGCUCCACUACAAGAUGGACCUGCGUUGUAUUAGCUAGUAGGUGAGGUAAUGGCUCACCUAGGCGACGAUACAUAGCCGACCUGAGAGGGUGAGCGGCCAAACUGGGACUGAGACACGGCCCAGACUCCUACGGGAGGCAGCAGUAGGGAAUCUUCGGCAAUGGGGGCAACCCUGACCGAGCAACGCCGCGUGAGUGAAGAAGGUUUUCGGAUCGUAAAGCUCUGUUGUAAGUCAAGAACGGGUGUGAGAGUGGAAAGUUCACACUGUGACGGUAGCUUACCAGAAAGGGACGGCUAACUACGUG